GUGAGUCAUCGAAUCUUUGAACGCACAUUGCGCCUCUCGCAAGGGAGGCAUGCCUGUCUGAGCGUCAUUUAAAUCAUAAACCCCUAUGGGUUUGUCAUGGGCCUCGCCUUCCUGGCGUUGCCUUAAAGCCAUUUUUGGUCUAAAAAGCGGACGAGAUCCUUUAGGACUGACCGUUUGGUGACCCGAAAACCUUUGACUUGACCUCAGAUCAGGUAGGACUACCGCCUGAACUUAAGCAUAUCAAUAAGCGGAGGA
rnacentral:misc_RNA from 1 species